rnacentral:rRNA from 1 species
GACGAACGCUGGCGGCGUGCCUAAUACAUGCAAGUCGAACGCAGUGGGGACGGGUGAGUAACACGUGGGUAACCUCCCAUCAGAGGGGAUAACACUUGGAAACAGGUGCUAACCCGACACUGAUGGAUGGACUCGCGGUGCAUUAGCUCGUUGGUGAGGUAACGGCUCACCAAGGCCACGAUGCAUAGCCGACCUGCGAGGGUGAUCGGCAACACGGGGACGGAGAGACGGCCCAGACUCCUACGGGAGGCAGCAGUAGGGAAUAUUAGACAAUGGACGAAAGUCUGACCGAGCAACGCCGCGUGAGUGAAGAAGGUUUUCGGAUCGUAAAGCUCUGUAGGUAGAGAAGCGGUAUCUAACCAGAAAGCCACGGCUAACUACGUGCCAGCAGCCGAGGUAAUAC